CCUACGGGAGGCAGCAGUGAGGGAUCUUGCACAAUGGGGGAAACCCUGAUGCAGCGACGCCGCGUGGGCGAGGAAGGCCUUCGGGUCGUAAAGCCCUUUUCUGGGUGACGAGGAAGGACGGUAGCCCAGGAAGAAGUCUCGGCUAACUACGUGCCAGCAGCCGCGGUAAU
rnacentral:rRNA from 1 species